GACGAACGCUGGCGGCGUGCUUAACACAUGCAAGUCGAACGGAAAGGCCCUGCUUUUGUGGGGUGCUCGAGUGGCGAACGGGUGAGUAACACGUGAGUAACCUGCCCUUGACUUUGGGAUAACUUCAGGAAACUGGGGCUAAUACCGGAUAGGAGCUCCUGCUGCAUGGUGGGGGUUGGUAAGUUUCGGCGGUUGGGGAUGGACUCGCGGCUUAUCAGCUUGUUGGUGGGGUAGUGGCUUACCAAGGCUUUGACGGGUAGCCGGCCUGAGAGGAUGACCGGCCACAUUGGGACUGAGAUACGGCCCAGACUCCUACGGGAGGCAGCAGUGGGGAAUAUUGCACAAUGGGCGGAAGCCUGAUGCAGCAAUGCCGCGUGCGGGAUGACGGCCUUCGGGUUGUAAACCGCUUUCGCCUGAGACGAGGCGUGAGUGACGGUAAUGGGUAAAGAAGCACCGGCUAACUACGUG
rnacentral:rRNA from 1 species